rnacentral:Y_RNA from 1 species
GGCUGGUCCGAAGGUAGUGAGUUACCUCGAUUGUUCACAGUCACGUACAAGUUGAACUCCUUGUUCUACCACUUACCCCGCUUCUCACUACUGCACUUGACUAGUCAAAA